CUAAUUGGGCUAGCUUAGACUAUGAUGCUCAUUUAUAAAAUCUUGUGAAGUCACUCAGCCUGUGCAUUUCAUCUCCUUUCUUUCAUUCUUUUUUAAAGGAGUCUGGAAAAGAAAAGGAAUUGCAUGAGAAACACAGUGGAUGCCAUAGUCAUGGCCAAACUCAUUGUCACGAGAAGGGCCAAGGUCAUGGGCAAUGUCAAGGGCAAGGUGAGAGUCCAAAGUGCCACACUCACUGCCACGGCCAAGCCUCUGGAGAAGGACAGCACAAAUGAAGCCUGCCUGGAUCAAGUGUCAUUUAACAUCAUACCAUACAAAUGCCAACCAGUUACUUCUGUAUUCAGAAAUACUUAUUAAGCUUUGAGGAAACAGAAACCUUGGUUGUGUUUUGCCUAUCCUACCUUUAUCUCUAUCAAUCCAAUUUAAUAGUCAUUAAAAGUUAAAUUGUGGCUGGUUUUGUUUUCUUUUUUAAAUACCACUUCUUGAACUAGCCACGUAUGUAGAGAGGCUGUUUUCUAGAACUGUGUAAUGCAGAUUUAUAUUAAGUGAUUGCUAAAUAAUAGAUCAAGACACUGCAGUUAGUCAUGGGACAGUUCAACUAAAUGUUUUUCCCCACCACCACUGAUUUCUUUUAAGGAUUAUUAACUGUAAAAUGUUAUGGGUAUGAAACUAAUUUUUACUUCUUCAGAUCCUUAGAAAUAUGUUUUAUGUAAUUAUUUAAAAUCAUUUCUGUCACCUAUGGUCAUGCAAUAAAAUUAUAUUACGACUGCUA